rnacentral:ncRNA from 2 species
GUAUGCAGGAGGUUGUGAGGCUCUGCGUGAUGAAAAGGGAAUGCCGUGAAAAUCGGCAGCAGUUCCCGCUGCUGUAAGUUCCGUACGGGUCGCAACACGCUGGCCACUGGUCCCCGAGGACCGGGAAGGCGUUGCGACAGGAACGAGCCAGAAGACCUGCCUUGCAGCUUCCCGGGAG